GGCAGCAGUGGGGAAUAUUGCACAAUGGGGGAAACCCUGAUGCAGCCAUGCCGCGUGUGUGAAGAAGGCCUUCGGGUUGUAAAGCACUUUCAGCGAGGAGGAAAGGUUGGCGCCUAAUACGUGUCAACUGUGACGUUACUCGCAGAAGAAGCACCGGCUAACUCCGUGCCAGCAGCCGCGGUAAUACGGAGGGUGCAAGCGUUAAUCGGAAUUACUGGGCGUAAAGCGCACGCAGGCGGUUGGAUAAGUUAGAUGUGAAAGCCCCGGGCUCAACCUGGGAAUUGCAUUUAAAACUGUCCAGCUAGAGUCUUGUAGAGGGGGGUAGAAUUCCAGGUGUAGCGGUGAAAUGCGUAGAGAUCUGGAGGAAUACCGGUGGCGAAGGCGGCCCCCUG
rnacentral:rRNA from 1 species